UCGAGCUCAUGUCCCUCCAGAUGAGCGCCAUCCCGGCCAAGGAGCAGACACCGACGGCGGUGGGCAGAGGGGACGGCAUGGCUGGAGGGAAGAGCCGGGGUUACACAAGACACACAAAAGGCACAGAGGAGACAGAAAGCAAAGAGGAGCAAAGAUGAGUUGACACAAGAUGGGGAGAAAGGAGAUAGCAUGCACAGGGAGGAAUUUCAGAUACAAAGGUAAAUAUACUAUGUAUUUACUUCAUUUUAUCAUUUCAUUGAUAAAUACUUGAUCCAGUCAUGAAUGGAUAAAUAUCCUUCCAUCCAUUUUCACGACCUCCUCAUCUUUUUUCUGAUUAACCUCCAAAAGAAUAAGAGAAAGUUGCUUGUAUUAUCUUCUUCUUCUUUUUAUCAAGAAAAUGCAUCAAAUAGGUAAAUGAACAAUGCAUUCCCUCUUUAAAGAUAUGUAGUGUUGAGGCUGUUGGAGGUGCAAAAUACAUCUGGCUGCCAGUGAUUACACACUCCUUCUUCUGCAUUUCAGUUCCAAUCUCUAAUAUAAAACCAAAAACCAGGUUUAACGUAUUAACCACAUUUUACAUAAAAGAUUAAUGGAACAACUCAGUGUAACAUCUGAAGAUAUGUGAUAGAGGUAUGAAAGAAGUGUAAUGGCUGAUGACUGAUGAUUGUUGACAGAAUUCGAUGUUUGACUGCAGGAUAGUAUAUUAUUGUCACCACCACUAAAAUACGGAACACUCUCUCAUAAAUAAUUAGUCUGGGUUAUUUUUACAAUGGCAUUGACAUCUGAUGCCACUUGCAACAUUAAUUAUAGACUGCUGGCUUUAUGUCAUUCAGCGUGUUAAUUAUUCUAUAGCAAGAAUCAAAGCAGUUCAUGUGCUCACACAUUAUAAGAAUCAGUGGAUUUUGUCAAUGUAAACCAACACAAACACUAGAUCUGUUUGCUCCUACUGUGUCAGAUAUGAACAUUCAAUAUAUGUAAGUAAUCUGGAAGUAAAAGCACACUUUGUCAGAAGUGGGAUUCGAACCCACGCCUCCAGGGGAGACUGCGACCUGAACGCAGCGCCUUAGACCGCUCGGCCAUCCUGACUACCUUCAGGAUCCUUACCUGAAAGUUUUCAUCCGUGAUAUUUAGGGAGCUGUUAUGAUGUGUAUAAAUGUAGUUUAAGGCCCUCAAUGGGAGUUUGUGACAUUUUUAUAUGCAUGCAUGAUUAUCAACUAUUGAGUGAAUGCUGGGGUACUCGUUAUAUAAGAGAAGGAUAACUUCAAAAUUGCAAACUAUUAACAUAUUAUCUGACUUCUCCUCUUAAAGUCAGGUUCCACCGAGAUUUGAACUCGGAUCGCUGGAUUCAGAGUCCAGAGUGCUAACCAUUACACCAUGGAACCACACAUCUGCAAGGUUUAGCUGCAAAAGAAUUCAGACUAUGUCAUAAUUUUCCAUCAUCAUGAGUGGUUGUGUUUUCAGUCAUAUAAUAUGGUAAGACACACACUGUCCAUUUUGCAUUCACCGUCAUUUCGUUGUCCAUUUAUUCAUUUAUUUGAAAUCUGUUCACAUAAAAACAGUUCACUAAGAUUAAAAUUUUCAGAUUUGUGCCAAAAAGGAGGGGAAGGAAGGGGGAUCAAAUUAUGUGAUUAUAGAGUUAUCUAGUGGCCCAGAUCACAAAAUUAUUGCGCUUUUUUUAACAAGUACAUGAAGACACUAUCACACCACUGUAUGGCAAAGAGGCACUCACUAUGUAGGGUAAUGAUGAGUGUUCAAUUUUACUGAAAUAUGCGGGAUGUGUUCUUUCUGUCUGCUAUAAAGUCAGGUUCCACCGAGAUUUGAACUCGGAUUGCUGGAUUCAGAGUCCAGAGUGCUAACCAUUACACCAUGGAACCACACACCCAUAAGACUUAGCUGCAAAAGAAUUCAAACUAUGUCAUAAUUUUCCUUCAUCAUUAGUAGUUCUGUUUUCAGUCAUAUAAUAUGGUAAGACACACACUGUCCAUUUUGUAUUCACCAUCAUUUGGUUGUCCAUUUAUUCAUUUAUUUGAAAUGUGUUCAUAUAAAAACAGUUCACUAUAAUUAAGAUUUUCAGAUUUGUGCCAAAAAGGAGGGGAAGGAAGAGGGAUCAAAUUAUGUGGUUAUAGAGUUAUCUAGUGGCCCAGAUUACAAAAUUAUUGGGUUUUUUUUUGGAAGAGUACGUGAAGACACUAUCCCACCACUGUAUGGCAAAGACACACUAGAUCUGUUUGUUCCUCCUGUGUCAGAUAUUCACAUUCAACACAUGUAAACAAUCUGGACCAAGCCAAGAACACUUGCUGUCAGAAGUGGGACUCGAACCCACGCCUCCAGGAGAGACUGCGACCUGAACGCAGCGCCUUAGACCGCUCGGCCAUCCUGACUGCUGACACUCUUUUUCACCUAAAGAUUUUCAUCUCUGAUACUGAGGGAGUUGUUCUGAUGUGCAUAAAAACAAUUUAUAUCCCUCAAUGUGAGCUUAUGACAUUCUCAAGAUGCAUGCAUGAUUAUCAACUACUGAGUGAAUGCUGGGAUACUUGUUAUGUAAGAAGGAUUACUUCAACAUUGCAGAGAAUUAACAUAUUAAUUGACCUCUCCUCUUAAAGUCAGGUUCCACCGAGAUUUGAACUCAGAUCGCUGGAUUCAGAGUCCAGCGUGCUAACCAUUACACCAUGGAACCCCACAUCUGCAAGGCUGUGCUGCAAGAAAUUUCAAACCAUCUCAGAAUUUUCCAUCAUCAUAAGUGUUUGUGUUGUUGUAAUAUAACAGUAGGAUAUGGUAGGACACACUGUCCAUUUCGUACUCACCGUCAUUUUGUUGUCUAUUUAUCCAUUUAUUUGAAAUGUGCACACAUAAGAACAGUUCACUAAAAUCAAUUACAGAUUUUCAUAUUUGUGUCAUAAAUCAGGAAGACAGUUAAAAUUAAAUGACUAUAGGAUUAUCCAGUGGCAAGAUUAUUGCUUUUUAAAGAAGAAUGCAUGAAGACAUAUCACACCAUUAUAUGGCAAAGAGGUACUCACUAUGUAGUGUAAUAAUGAGCACCCAAAUUUUACUGAAAUGUGCUGAAUGUAUUCUCAGUGUGUGCUAUAAAGUCAGGUUCCACCGAGAUUUGAACUCGGAUUACUGGAUUCAAAGUCCAGAGUGCUAACCAUUACACCAUGGAACCCCUUCUGACAGUGAGCUAUCAUUAAAAAAACGCAAUACAUAUAUUAGCCCUCUAGUACAUACAUGUGAAAUCUGAUUUUGUCAGCGGAAGGGGAUAAAGACAAAAAUAAAUGUGUUUAUUCCUCAAUUUUGUUAGUUCUCAUGAAUACUACUUGUGAAUUAAUGUUGCAUGGAAAAGAUAGUGAUUAUGUGUAAGUUAAAGAAUGAGUUUAGGUGUGUCACUACUAAUGUAACUGCUACUGAAGCAUUAGGGCGGCAAACAUCAGGUGUCUUCUUAUCCUGAGCUGCAGAACAUCUAAUGAAUCCAUCUUGCCUCCGGCUGUGAAUUAGUCCACAGACGCCCCUUCAUCAGCUCUCCUCCACAGAAUCUGAACAUCAGAGAAAAUACUGCAGCCUUUGAUGCAGGACAGCGCUGGAAAUUUUCAGACAGAAUCGCAGUUUGCUCACCUGUUUCAUUUCCAUGGUGACAGCUGGUGAUAGAAGAGGAAAUUAAAUUACACAACAGAGCUGGACAUAGACAUGAUUAAAAGCUUGUUUUAGACACUAACCUGCCCAGUCAGAGGAGUUUGACACCAGAGGUCCAUCCACAGAGACGCCGUGGAGCAGCUCAGCCAGCCAGGACACCUCUGCCGGGUCGUCAACAAAGACCUCCUCUGGUUCGUCCAACCACAGCUCAGCCUCUGGCAUCAACAUAAAUACACGACUGCUUGACUUUAAGACAAAAAACUGAAAUAAGAAAGCUCAUUAAUGAUGCUGUAAACUAUUAAAGUUAUAGUAAAGUCAGCUAGAUGCAAGUUAAUGAGCCAGUCCAGCAGCCUGAGCUGCAUUUUACCAUCAUAGUCCUAACUGCUCUGUUUUUUCUUUUAUUCCAACAAACUUUUAGUGAAGAAAAAUGUAUGGUCUGCAUUUUUACAUAUUAAAAAGUGGCAUUGCACACA